GGGGGCGACAUGGUUUCGACGCGGGUAUCAAAAUUUGAGGUGCAUGCCGAGAGGGUAGUGACUCUCGUAAAACAAUCGCUGUAACUUUAUAGUUGCCAACGACGAAAACUACGCACUAGCGGCCUAAAAAACCCGCUUACGUCCAUGAUUCGUUUCUUGCUAGGAGAAAUGGACGGCAAAACAGCAAGAUCGCGCGGAUACCUCGCCCGGGGUUGAACCGUUAAAACCAAUCGGGAUCGCAGAAAGUACCCUGACCGUCGGGUCACUGGACGCUAAAUUAAUAGACGGACCCUAAGCAUGUAGAGCCAAUAAUGGCGAGUCAGCGGACGCGGGUUCAACUCCCGCCGCCUCCACCA
rnacentral:tmRNA from 1 species